rnacentral:rRNA from 1 species
CCUACGAGUGGCAGCAGUGGGGAAUAUUGCGCAAUGGGGGAAACCCUGACGCAGCACCGCCGCGUGAGUGAAGACGUAUCUCGGUAUGUAAAGCUCUAUCAGCGGGGAAGAAGGAAGACGGUACCCGACUAAGAAGCUCCGGCUAACUACGUGCCAGCAGCCGCGGUAAUACGUAGGGGGCGAGCGUGAUCCGGAUUUACUGGGUGGAAAGGGAGGGUAGACGGCGUCGCAAGUCUGAAGGGAAGGCCCGUGGCUCAACCGCGGAACCGCUUUGGAAACUGCGUGGCUGGAGUGCUAGAGAGGUAAGCGGAAUGCCUGGUGUAGCGGUGAAAUGCGUAGAUAGCAGGAAGAACACCGGUGGCGAAGGCGGCUUACUGGACAGUGACUGACGUUGAGGCUCGAAAGCGUGGGGAGCGAACAGGAUUAGAUACCCCUGUAGUC